GCUUGUCUCAAAGAUUAAGCCAUGCAUGUCUAAGUACAAGCCUCAGUAAGGUGAAACCGCGAAUGGCUCAUUAAAUCACACCUAAUCUACUGGAAAGUUACUAGUUACUUGGAUAACCGUAGUAAUUCUAGAGCUAAUACAUGCGCCAAGUCCCGUCUUACGUCGGGAUGUAUUUAUUAGAUUUCAAUCAACACUUUUUGCUGACUCAUGAUAACUUAGCGGAUCGCAGAGGCCUCGCGCCGGCGACAAAUCAUUCAAGUUUCUGCCCUAUCAGCUUUCGAUGGUAGUGUAUUGGACUACCAUGGCAUUCACGGGUAACGGAGGAUUAGGGUUCGAUUCCGGAGAGGGAGCCUGAGAAAUGGCUACCACAUCCAAGGAAGGCAGCAGG
rnacentral:rRNA from 1 species